UAGAGACGUGAUCCCUGAACUCCAAAGCUAUAAUUAUAAAACAUACAUGCCUGAGUCAUUAUUGGAAGGUGAAUUUCAAUUGACCACUGACCAAGCAAACAAGUCUAGGUGUGUGACUAUGUGUAGAUGGGUAGUUGAAAUUGUAAAUGGUCGCAUCAAAAGAGACUACAAACUGUUUCGACAAGAAUAUUUUAACAGAGCAUCAACACACCUUAUGGAUGAUUUUAAAAUUGUUUGUGCCCUUUUGAAUAAAUUCCACCCAACAAUUGAAGAUAGACCUGACGCUGCAGAGUAUGUGCAAAUUGCUCAGGCGAGAUUAAACAGUAGUAAUUAUUUGGGGGAAUUUAUUCGAAGGGAUAACAUCAAUAGGAGACGUACGGUUUUCCAAAACAUAGACAGCAAUGCUCCCCAUUUAGAUCAUUUUCCAAGAUUAACUUUAGAUGAUUUAAGAAGAUUUGCAUUGGGAUCUUACCAAUUAAAACAGGCUAGAUCCUAUUAUGGGGAGCACAUAAGAAGUAAUGGUACUUAUAAUGUUGAAGUAAGCAAUGAUGUCUUGGAAGAGGAUUUGCCCUUAAUAUUGGGUCAAAAUAAUUAUUUAAUUAGGACUAGAAUUAAGUCCCGCCAUGUGAGCCAUAAAACAUAUUACUCUUAUUUGUUGAUAAGUAGAGAUGAAGAUCGGGCAAAUUCUUUAGAAAGUAUCAUUGCUUACUAUUGUAACUGUCUAGUGGGUAACCGUACGGUAGGGUGUUGUGCUCAUACUAUGACAGUAUUGUGGUAUUUAAGCUGGGGCCGCUUCAACAAUGUGAGUGCUCCAGCUCAAUCUUUGGACGAAAUAUUUUAUGAAGAAUAAAUAGUUUAUUCAUGUUUUGUUUUUUUUUUAUUUCCCUUGCUAUUACUAAAAUAAUAAUAACUAUCAAUAACGGUAAUUAUGAGUCUAUACUAAUAUUAUAAAGAGGAAAGAUUUGAUUAGGUAGGCUAUAAUUUAUCCGGGUAUGGAAAGGUGUUCCCGGGGACGCGGGUGUAACCGCGGGAAACACAUAAUAACAAUUCCAUUACUUUAUGCAUAAAUAGAGACAUAAUUCCAUGGUACUGCUAUUUACAGUACAUAUUUCUAUGCUCAUAGUGAUCUAUAGUCCAUGUCAAUUUCUAAUUAUAACCUAUAUUCUUAAAACAGAAAAAUAAUGAUAUCUCUUGAACCAGGGUGAAUAAAUGAAAAAAGGUUUCUGAUUAUGAAAAUGCAAUGUUUUUCCUAUUAGUUAAAAUAAAAAUCUUCAGGGCACAAACAUUUUUCACUGGGACCCAACUUCCCUUACAAAACGGGCAAUCUCCUUUACCAAGAAUAAACUCUCUGAUGGUCGGUAAAUUUUUUGCUGUAAAUCCCGACUUCUGUUCCGCUGAGUUACGGAAUGUUAAAACAUCCGUAUCCGGAAGGGAGACUUAUGGCGAUGACGCUAUAGAUUACGUACAGCUGAAGAGGGAACAAAAUGUUUGCACUGUAAAAUGUACAGUUUGCCCUGAACACAAAGUACGAAGUAAGCCGUAUGCAGCUACACUCGUAGUGGAUGAACAGGAAGAAGUGGUGAUAAGUGUUAAAUGUCAUGAUUGUCCUGCAUCAGCAGGUGGUUGUAAGCAUGCAGUUGCAUUUUUGAUGUGGUUGCACCGCCGAAGUGAAGACCCUUCCUGCACGUCUGUAGAAUGUUAUUGGAAGAAGUCCAAUCUUGCCAAAGUUGGAACAUCAAUUAAAAUAUUAAGUGCAAGAGAAAUGGCAAAACGGAAACCAAAAGUAUUUGCACCAGACAGCGGGUUGAUGAAUGAGUUUGUCAAAGAAUGUAAGACAAGAAAAAUAAAUAAUUGUCAGUUUGUUAAGCAUGAACCUGACUAUUGUGAUACAGAUACUAAUUUAUCAUUACAUUAUCUGAUGAUGACAUAUAAUGAUGAGAAUUAUGAUAGAUUUCUGUCUAAAAUCUUAAAAGAAUUCAGCAAGACAAAUAUAAAACAUGCAGAAAGAAAUACUAGAGGUCAGAAUACCAGUUACUUGUGGCAUGAACUCCGAUAUGGAAGGAUAACGGCUUCUAAGUGUUAUGAAGUUAGUCGUUGUAAAACAACUGAUGGAAACUUGGUUGCUGUCAUUCUUGGUGCGAAGACUCCAGAAACAUCAGCUAUAAUUAGAGGAAGAAAAUUAGAAGAUCAAGUGAGAAAAGUUGUUGAGAAGAAAUUGGGAAUCAAAAUUCAAAUGUGUGGUUUGUACAUAUCGGAGACAUUCCCAAUGAUAGCUGCAUCACCAGAUGGAAGAAAUGAAAAUACAACAUUCGAAAUCAAGUGCCCUGUUAGUGCCAAAACGUCAGAAAAUUAUAUUGACAAGGAAGGCAGAAUAAAAGAAAAGUAUUUUGCCCAGGUGCAAAUACAAAUGUAUUGUGCUCACGCCACUGAAAGUUAUUUUUGUGUUGCCAAUAGUGACUUUGAGAAAAACAAUGAAGUUGCACUUCUUAAAGUUGAAUUUGACCAAGAGUAUGUACAUAACGUGAGAAAAAAAAAUAUUUUUAAUUUUUUAGAGAUAUAUUAAGACUAAAGAAUUUAU